rfam:Schistosoma mattheei strain Denwood, Zambia genome assembly, scaffold: SMTD_scaffold0008924
AUACAGUUGACGAGUUUCAAAUAGGACGAAACGCGUGUUCUGAAU